UGGGGAAUAUUGCACAAUGGGCGCAAGCCUGAUGCAGCCAUGCCGCGUGUAUGAAGAAGGCCUUCGGGUUGUAAAGUACUUUCAGUCGGGAGGAAGGUGUCAAGGUUAAUAACCUUGGCAAUUGACGUUACCGACAGAAGAAGCACCGGCUAACUCCGUGCCAGCAGCCGCGGUAAUACGGAGGGUGCAAGCGUUAAUCGGAAUUACUGGGCGUAAAGCGCACGCAGGCGGUUGAUUGAGUCAGAUGUGAAAUCCCCGGGCUUAACCCGGGAAUUGCAUCUGAUACUGGUCAGCUAGAGUCUUGUGAGGGGGGUAGAAUUCCAUGUGUAGCGGUGAAAUGCGUAGAGAUGUGGAGGAAUACCGGUGGCGAAGGCGGCCCCCUGGACAAAGACUGACGCUCAGGUGCGAAAGCGUGGGGAGCAAACAGG
rnacentral:rRNA from 1 species